rnacentral:snRNA from 1 species
AGAUAUGAGGGUGAUCUGGCUGCGAUAUCUGUCACCCAUUGAUCGCCAAGAUUGAUUUGGCUGAUCAGGCUAGCUAGGCAGGUGCCCCCUUCCUCCCUCACCACUCCAUGUGCAUCCCUCCAGAAGUUGCAAGCUGGGUAAAAGAGGAUGGCCUUCCCUGAACAGAUCAGUCUUCUUUUGAGGGUAUAUGAGUAGACGUGCUUCCCUGCUAGAACCUCCAAACAAGCUCUCAAAGUUCUUGACCCAUUUGGAGUUUACUUUUGUGAGUGGUGAAAUGUAGUGGUUCAACUUUAUUCUUUUUUUAGUGUUCAAUAAUAUAUAUCUUU